rnacentral:rRNA from 1 species
UGCCAGACUCCUACGGGAGGCAGCAGUGGGGAAUAUUGCACAAUGGGGGAAACCCUGAUGCAGCGACGCCGCGUGAAGGAUGAAGUAUUUCGGUAUGUAAACUUCUAUCAACAGGGAAGAAAAUGACGGUACCUGACUAAGAAGCCCCGGCUAACUACGUGCCAGCAGCCGCGGUAAUACGUAGGGGGCAAGCGUUAUCCGGAUUUACUGGGUGUAAAGGGAGCGUAGACGGCGGUGCAAGCCAGAUGUGAAAGCCCGGGGCCCAACCCCGGGACUGCUCUUGGAACUGCGUGGCUGGAGUGCAGGAGGGGCAGGCGGAAUUCCUGGUGUAGCGGUGAAAUGCGUAGAUAUCAGGAGGAACACCGGUGGCGAAGGCGGCCUGCUGGACUGCAACUGACGUUGAGGCCCGAAAGCGUGGGGAGCAAACAGGAUUAGAUACCCCCGUAU